UGGGGAAUCUUGCGCAAUGGGCGAAAGCCUGACGCAGCAACGCCGCGUGCGGGACGAAGGCCUUCGGGUCGUAAACCGCUUUCAGCAGGGACGAAAUUGACUGUACCUGCAGAAGAAGCUCCGGCUAACUACGUGCCAGCAGCCGCGGUAAUACGUAGGGAGCAAGCGUUAUCCGGAUUUAUUGGGCGUAAAGCGCGCGUAGGCGGCUUGUUAAGUCAGAUGUGAAAGCCGGGGGCUCAACCCGCGGAUUGCAUCUGAAACUGGCAGGCUUGAGUGUGGUAGAGGAAAGUGGAAUUCCAGGUGUAGCGGUGAAAUGCGCAGAUAUCUGGAGGAACACCAGUGGCGAAGGCGGCUUUCUGGGCCACCACUGACGCUGAGGCGCGAAAGCUAGGGGAGCGAACA
rnacentral:rRNA from 1 species